UGGCGUACGGGUGAGUAACACGUGGAUAAUCUACCUCUGAGUGGGGAAUACCGCUGGGAAACCGGCGACAAUACCGCAUAAGCUCGAGAGAGGAAAGCGAUUUAACGAUCGCGCUGGGAGAGGAGUCCGCGGCCGAUUAGCUAGUUGGUAGGGUAAUGGCCUACCAAGGCUACGAUCGGUAGCCGGCCUGAGAGGGCACACGGCCACACUGGCACUGAAACACGGGCCAG
rnacentral:rRNA from 1 species